UGAGUAACACGUAGGUAAUCUACCUUUGGGUGGGGAAUAACUCAGGGAAACUUGAGCUAAUACCGCAUAAUGCAGCGGCACCGCAAGGUGACAGUUGUUAAAGGAGCAAUCCGCCUAAAGAGGAGCCUGCGGCAGAUUAGGUAGUUGGUAAGGUAAUGGCUUACCAAGCCUUCGAUCUGUAUCCGACCUGAGAGGGUGGUCGGACACACUGACACUGAAUAACGGGUCAG
rnacentral:rRNA from 1 species